rfam:Lonsdalea quercina strain ATCC 29281 genome assembly, contig: Ga0052894_scaffold00013.13
UAGGACGGUCCAGCGCGUAGAACAUUAUUCCUACUAUUAUUACUGACAAAUCAUCUUGAAAAUUUGGGGCUAGGCCUCAUCUAAUCUCCAGUAGCACAUUUGAUCAGUACAAAUCGGAGGAGUUAUGCGUCUGGAUCGUCUUAC